GCGGGUAUGGCUCAGCUGGGAGAGCGUCAGACUGAAGUGACACUUUAAUCUUCCUAUCUGAAGGUCAUGUGUUCGAUCCACAUUAGCCGCA